rnacentral:rRNA from 1 species
AUACGUAGGUGGCGAGCGUUAUGCGGAAUUACUGGGCGUAAAGGGCGCGUAGGCGGGCGUGCAAGUUAGAUGUGAAAACCUGCUGCUCAACUCCAGACUGGCAGCUGAAACUGCAAGACUUGAGGGCAGGAGGGGAUAGCGGAAUUCCUUGUGGAGCGGUAAAAUGCGCAGAGAUUAGGAAGAACACCGGUGGCGAAGGCGGCUAUCUGGACAGUAACUGACGCUGAGGCUCGAAAGCGUGGGUAGCAAACAGGAUUAGAUACCCUGGUAGUCCACGCUGUAAACGAUGAUUACUAGGUGUGGGGGGACUGACCCCUUCCGUGCCGCAGUUAACACAAUAAGUAAUCCACCUGGGGAGUACGGCCGCAAGGUUGAAACUCAAAUGAAUUGACGGGG